rnacentral:lncRNA from 1 species
GCAGAAGCAGAGCUCCACCGCGAGCGGAGGCAUGGGCGCAUGGCUGCCGGGCCAGGCUGAGCUCUCAGAAGAAAAGCCCGGCGCCUUGGCGGCGUUGCCCUGCAGGGCUGACUCGCAUGUGGACUAACCCGAAAGAUUUGAAAGGACACUUGUAAAGCAUGGUGGCGCAUGAUGAGAUCGGAGGUCUCCUGCCCAUUAAAAGGACGAUCCGAGUCUUAGAUGUUAAUAACCAGCCCUUCCGGGAGCAGGAGGUAAGAGCAGACCGAAGGAAUGCUUUCCAACUCCGCAGAACUUCUAAGAUUUUAAACUUCACUUUCAAACUUUUAAUCGUAUUACAUCCUAAAAUGUGCAACUAUUAUAAGCAAGGCUGAAAUGUGUUUAAGAACUGUGGUCUAAGUUUAAGCAAUUUUUUUUUACUAUAGCAUAGCUAAAAUUGUGAAAAGUUACAUACAAAGGAGAUUUUAAAUAUAUGAGUCUCUGGGUAAACAUUUCUCAUGUUCGAUAUGGUUGUGCUUCCCCCCCCCCCCCUAACUUGCAUUACUAAGUCAUGGAGACUGUUUUAAGAAAGG